GCAGAAAGAAAUAUGCCAUUUUCUCUAGACCGUCCUGUACCUUGCUUUCGUCUUCCUCACCCCGAGCCUCGGCCCUCCUGACCUAACCAAUCCGACCCUAGGCGGCUCCAUCUCUCCUAGACUGUGCCACGACGUGCCCUGCCGUAGCACUGCGUUACCGCCGACGCCUCACUCCCACCCCAUCCCAUCCCCCACUCCCACAUCCCCUCCGCCCCUCUCACGCGCCUCGCCGCCAUCGCCGUCCCCGUUCUUCCUCGUCGCCGAAUUUCGUCCCUGCUGUCCCCGCCCCGUCCGCAAUCUCGGGCCAUUGGGUUUUGAGGUUCCAGGGAUUGGUGUCUGGAAUGCAAUGGUGGGGAUAGCCUGACCGUCCAGAGCCCGAAAGAAGAGCACAUUUCUCGUUCCAAUCUCGGUUUUCUUGGAUUUCGAUUCGUUUGUUCAGGGCCGGCCGAGAUGGACGACGACGGCAGCUUGAGCAUUCGGAAUUGGGGCUUCUAUGAGACGAUGAAAGGCAACCUCGGCCUGCAGCUGAUGCCAUCUGUGGCCGGCGGCCACCGGGACACAAAGCCGCUGCUCCCCAACGGCACCUUCUUGCAGCACCACAACGCCCCGCACCACCCGCCGCAUUCACAUCAUCCCCGCGACUAUGGUAACGGCGAACCCUCUGGUGGCAUGCCCACCGAGCCGCCGGCUAUUCACAUGGACUUUGUGCGCAACGAGGCCUGGAUGCACCCCUCGCAGCAUCAGCAUCAGCACCAGCACCACCACCAGAACCAACAUCAACAGCAGCAUCAGCAUCAGCAUCAACAUUCCCGUGAGCAGAAGGUCCUUCAUGCUGUUCCUCUUGGGCCUCCUGGACAUAUUGGACAUCCUGGACAUGCUGUGCAUCACCACCCUACAGAUUUUGGGAUGAUGCCAGAUGCGCGUGGUGCGCACACUCUCCAGAUGAUGCAGCCACAGGAGCCUCCUGUGCCUGAGGAGGAAAAAAUUGCCCCACCGUUGGUUGAAGAGCAUUCUGUGGUCGGAAGCAAGCCUCUGGUAAAGAAGAGGCAGCAAGGUCGUCAGCCUAAGUUGCCGAAGCCGAAGAAACCUAAGAAGGUUGCUACUCCAGGCGAAGAUGGGGCACCCAAGGCCCGUGCACCCCGAAGCAGGGGUCCUCUUAAGCCUGUGGAAAUGGUAAUUAAUGGUAUUGAUUUUGACAUUUCAAGGAUACCAACACCUGUGUGCUCAUGCACUGGAGCUCCCCAGCAAUGCUACCGGUGGGGUGCAGGUGGCUGGCAGUCUGCAUGCUGCACAACUUCUAUUUCGACAUAUCCGCUGCCAAUGAACACAAAGCGCCGGGGCGCACGUAUUGCUGGAAGGAAGAUGAGCCAAGGUGCAUUCAAAAAGGUUCUUGAGAAGCUAGCUGGUGAAGGGUACAACCUUAAUAAUCCAAUUGACUUGAAGACCUUCUGGGCCAAACAUGGCACAAACAAGUUUGUAACAAUCAGGUAAGAGACAUGCUAUGUUGAUUGCCUUGUAGGCUCCAACGCUGCAGUUUGGUCUGAGUUAUUCUCUGUACCUGCUCUUGCCAAUCUGUAGACAUCUUUAGAAGUAGCUUGUAGCCAUGUUCAGUUUCCUGGACUUAAUUUACAUGCCUAUUUCGAGCUUCAGCUGUGAAGUAGGAAGUCUGUCUGUAUCUGUCAUGUCAAUUUAGAAGUUGUAGUGUAAUGGCAACAGUUUUUCUGAUUUAGUUAGCAUUUAAUGCUUCAAUGUCUGUUAUGACCUGGAUGUUUAUGGCUUCAUGUAGAGGUUUUCUCCAUUAAAGUUGAAAGAUAAUCGCUACCUCUUCUAGGGC
rnacentral:rRNA from 1 species